GGAAGUUCAAAUGUUCCUCACUUUAGGAUUAUUAUUAUUCUUUGAUUUAUUAAACGGUGUAAAAGUACCAGAACUUAAAAACGGUGUAGGAGGGGAGUGAAUCCACCCAAGUGGUCUGGUUUAUGGUUUAUGGUUUUGGUUUCUGUUUUAGUUAAUAUUCAAGACUUCAACAGGUUUAGUGUUUAUUUACUUUAGUUAAUAUUUAAGACUUCAACAGGUUUAGUGUUUAUUUACUUUAGUUAAUAUUUAAGACUUCAGCACACUACCAGGAGUCAAUUCAAUAGUUUACAGUUGAUUUGUUGUGACUUUAGUUCAGCUUAUUCAGAAUUUGUUCAGAAAUACUCUUCUUGCUUUGUUAUAUAAUAACUUUCCUGUUUUUAACACUAUUUCUGUUAAACAAGAUUCAUUUCUAUUUAAAAUGCUCUUUUGGUUAUUUCAUUAUCAUAUUUGUCUGUUAUAACUUUUUAGUUUUAGACUUAAAUUUUAACCUCUCAAAUAACAAAGCAGUCUCAAAUCCUUUUGAGGAAUUACAGCUAAAAAUCUACUUUGCAUACAGUACAUCCUCUGAUAAAUACAGUGAAGUACUUUGAUUGCAUUUCUGUGGUGUUCCUGUAGGUGACCAUGAUGCAGCCAGACUGAAGCAGCACGUUGUGAAGGUGGACGCCAUCAUCUUGUCUUUGCAGCGCUGAUUCUGAAGAGAACGCCUUCACAUAGGACUCAAAGGAAAUCAAUGCUCAAAGGAAACAGCAGUCCAGACUCUGAUUCCAGCUCCGGUGACGUUCUGCACACAAAUUGGCUGUCUGAUUCGUUUAAUGGGCUCACUGACUUGAAGAGAGAGGACACUUGGCUUCCAUGUACGAGACACACAAGAAUCACUCUAUCAGAAGAUGCCCUCAGAUUCAGAUCCAUCAACAACCCCUGACAACAUGGAGGACUCGUCCCCUGAGCGUUUCCUGUCCUCUCUCCAUGGAGUUCUUCUCUUCAGUUAUUAACUCUUGAAAACAGUAGCACAACAUGCCAGACUGUUUGACAAGUCUGUGAUUGAAUAAAUGGAAAUGGAAUCUCAUGUGUAUCUUGUUAUGCUUAUUGGCUUUAAAUGUUUAAUAUUAAAUAAGUUUGAAGGCCAUUUAUCUCAAACGAGCCCGGCUGUGACAAGCUGAGCUCGUCUGUUGUCUUUAACAGGGUACACACUACAAGAUAAUCAGGCUGAUUUUAGGCCAGAUUCCCCUCUUCCGACGAAAGUCAUCAAAGGCCCGACUAUCUGAUGAUCCAAAGAUUAUCUUGCCAGGUUCUCCUGUGGUGUGAGGUGUGUUAAGAGUGAUUUUAACCUCUGAUCUGCUCGGACGAUGAUAAGGGCCGUCCCGAUUUGAAAUUGUUAAUAUUAAACGUGUUCAAUAUUUACAAUCAGAAGUCCUGUUGUGUGGGAACAUCGAGGCCUGCCGAGCACGGACUCUGUGAAUAGUCACUUGGAACGGAGCAAUAGCCAAUAGGGAAGCAAGCUGACUGAAGCAGGAAGCACAACAAACAUUACCAUGGCGACAACAGCAAACGUGAAGCAUAAAGUUAAAUGGAUGUCA